UGGCGGACGGGUGAGUAACGCGUGGGUAACCUGCCUCACACUGGGGGAGUAACAGUUAGAAAUAGCUGCUAAUACCGCAUAAGCGCACGGUUCCGCAUGGAACAGUGUGAAAAACUCCGGUGGUGUGAGAUGGACCCGCGUCUGAUUAGCCAGUUGGCGGGGUAACGGCCCACCAAAGCGACGAUCAGUAGCCGGCCUGAGAGGGUGAACGGCCACAUUGGGACUGAGACACGGCCCAA
rnacentral:rRNA from 1 species